GAACGAACGCUGGCGGCAUGCCUAACACAUGCAAGUCGAACGAGACCUUCGGGUCUAGUGGCGCACGGGUGCGUAACGCGUGGGAACCUGCCCUUAGGUUCGGAAUAACUCCCCGAAAGGGGUGCUAAUACCGGAUAAUGUCUUCGGACCAAAGAUUUAUCGCCUUUGGAUGGGCCCGCGUUGGAUUAGCUAGUUGGUAGGGUAAAAGCCUACCAAGGCGACGAUCCAUAGCUGGUCUGAGAGGAUGAUCAGCCACACUGGGACUGAGACACGGCCCAGACUCCUACGGGAGGCAGCAGUGGGGAAUAUUGGACAAUGGGCGAAGGCCUGAUCCAGCAAUGCCGCGUGAGUGAUGAAGGCCUUAGGGUUGUAAAGCUCUUUUACCCGGGAUGAUAAUGACAGUACCGGGAGAAUAAGCUCCGGCUAACUCCGUG
rnacentral:rRNA from 1 species